rnacentral:rRNA from 1 species
UACGGGGGGGGCAAGCGUUGUUCGGAAUUACUGGGCGUAAAGGGCUCGUAGGCGGCCAACUAAGUCGGAUGUGAAAUCCCCAGGCUUAACCUGGGAACUGCAUCCGAUACUGGAUGGCUUGAAUUCGGGGGAGGGAUGCAGAAUUCCAGGUGUAGCGGUGAAAUGCGUAGAUAUCUGGAGGAACACCGGUGGCGAAGGCGGCAUCCUGGACCGGCAUUGACGCUGAGGAGCGAAAGCCAGGGGAGCAAACGGG